CCUACGGGGCGCAGCAGUCGGGAAUAUUGCGCAAUGGAGGAAACUCUGACGCAGUGACGCCGCGUAUAGGAAGAAGGUCUUCGGAUUGUAAACUAUUGUCGUUAGGGAAGAGAAAGGACAGUACCUAAGGAGGAAGCUCCGGCUAACUACGUGCCAGCAGCCGCGGUAAUACGGAGGAUGCGAGCGUUAUCCGGAUUUAUUGGGUUUAAAGGGUGCGCAGGCGGAAGAUCAAGUCAGCGGUAAAAUUGAAAGGCUCAACCUCUUCGAGCCGUUGAAACUGGUUUUCUUGAGUGAGCGAGAAGUAU
rnacentral:rRNA from 1 species